UACGGGGGGGGCAAGCGUUGUUCGGAAUUACUGGGCGUAAAGGGCUCGUAGGCGGCUCGUUAAGUCAGACGUGAAAGCCCUCGGCUUAACCGGGGAACUGCGUCUGAUACUGGAUGGCUUGAGUUCGGGAGAGGGAUGCGGAAUUCCAGGUGUAGCGGUGAAAUGCGUAGAUAUCUGGAGGAACACCGGUGGCGAAGGCGGCAUCCUGGACCGACACUGACGCUGAGGAGCGAAAGCCAGGGGAGCAAACGGG
rnacentral:rRNA from 1 species